rnacentral:rRNA from 1 species
AUCCUGUUAAGUCAGGCAACGAGCGAGACCCACGCCCACAGUUGCCAGCGUACUCUCUGGAGUGACGGGUACACUGUGGGACCGCCGCUGCUAAAGCGGAGGAAGGAAUGGGCAACGGUAGGUCAGUAUGCCCCGAAUAUCCCGGGCUACACGCGAGCUACAAUGGUUGGUACAAUGGGUAUCUACCCCGAAAGGGGACGGGAAUCUCCUAAAACCAAUCUUAGUUCGGAUUGAGGGCUGCAACUCGCCCUCAUGAAGCUGGAAUCCGUAGUAAUCGCGUUUCAACAGAACGCGGUGAAUACGUCCCUGCUCCUU